AUUGAACGCUGGCGGCAUGCCUUACACAUGCAAGUCGAACGGCAGCAUGAUCUAGCUUGCUAGAUUGAUGGCGAGUGGCGAACGGGUGAGUAAUACAUCGGAACGUGCCCUGCAGUGGGGGAUAACUAGUCGAAAGAUUAGCUAAUACCGCAUACGACCUGAGGGUGAAAGUGGGGGACCGCAAGGCCUCAUGCUAUAGGAGCGGCCGAUGUCUGAUUAGCUAGUUGGUGGGGUAAAGGCCACCAAGGCGACGAUCAGUAGCUGGUCUGAGAGGACGAUCAGCCAAACUGGGACUGAAACACGGCCCAGACUCCUACGGGAGGCAGCAGUGGGGAAUUUUGGACAAUGGGCGAAAGCCUGAUCCAGCAAUACCGCGUGUGUGAAGAAGGCCUUCGGGUUGUAAAGCGCUUUUGUCCGGAAAGAAAUGGCUCUGGUUAAUACCUGGGGUCGAUGACGGUACCGGAAGAAUAAGGACCGGCUAACUACGUGCCAGCCGCCGCGGUAAUAC
rnacentral:rRNA from 1 species